CCUGUUCCCAUUCCGAACACAGAAGUUAAGCUCUUGAGCGGCGAUGGUACUUGGGGGGCGACCCCCUGGGAGAGUAGCACGUAGCCACGU
rnacentral:rRNA from 1 species